CAAUGGUGAGAUCGGUGUUGGUA
rnacentral:siRNA from 1 species